rnacentral:lncRNA from 1 species
GGAGCUCCAAAGAUCUGUCCCUCCACUGAAGCAACCAUUGCUAGCAAAAACUUAAGAUCAACUUUUUGGAUCUCUACUAUCUAAUAAAAACAACAACCAGAGGAAUGCUUAAUGAAGAGGCUAUUUAGCUUUGGUAAAAGAGUUUUUGUGGUUUUGCUUACGCACCUACCAUGCCCUGUCUCCCAGCCAGGCAACAACUGAGAGGACAGUGGCCUGUGCUCCUAGUGCAUCUUGAUACCAGAACGGGCAAUACAGAUCUUGCUCUCCAAGAAAUGUGGGUGUGCUUUGACCUGCCUGGCAGUUCCUGAAGGUUCAGCUCAGAGGGUUGCCUUUGUUUUGCCCCCUCCACACUAGAACAGCCUCACAGUGCUUAUCAGAAGCAUUACCUGCAACCAUCUGGGGCUGGGGACGGCAAACGGGGCAAGCAGCAAACAGACCAAAAAGCUUGGGAAGGAAAUAACUGGGAGGAAGAUACGUGGGAGAGAGAAGGCUCAGAAGGGCCCUUGUCUGUACUAGGUAGUCUGGAAGGCCACACACAUGCCUAGCACUGGACACAUUUUUGGAAAAGACUGAGAGGACUCUAGGCCUGCACCUCUGACUGAUCUUUAGGCUCCACAGAAGUAGGAGGUGGAAGCUAAAGCAGAAUUUAGGUGACCUGGCUAAGCGCUGAAGGAAUGCCCAAGUCAGGACGAAUCUACAAAGCCUGGGAGAAUUACCAUUUUUAACUUAUUUUAUUUUAUUUUUUUUAAAUAGAGACAUGGUCUCGCUUUGUUGCCUGGGCUUGUCUUUAAUUCCUGGCCUCAAGAAAUCCUCCUGCCUCAACCUUUCAAAGUGAAACAGUAUCUUUUGUUCUUUUGGACUCAUGACAGUUAAGGAAAUUAAGUGAAAUGCUGCUGGAGUGCAGUGAUGUAAUCACAGCUUGCUGCAGUCUUGAUCUCUUGGGCUCAAGUGAUCCUUCUGCCUCAGCCUCCCAAGUAGCUGAGACCGCAAGCACGCACCACCACACACAGCUGAUUUUUUAAACUUUUGGUCCAUUCCAAGAUGGCCGAAUAGGAACAGCUCUGGUCUGCAGCUCCCAGCGUGACUGACGCAGAAGACGGGUGAUUUCCGCAUUUCCAACUGAGGUACCUGUUUCAUUUCAUUGGGACUGGUUGGACAGUGGGUGCAGCCCAUGGCGGGGCAUCACCUCACCCGGGAAGUGCAAGGGGUCGGGGGAUUUCCCUUUCUUAGCCAAGGGAAGCCAUGUCAGACUGUAC